AAGACCUUGCGCUUUUGGAGCGGCCGAUGCCUGAUUAGCUAGUUGGUGGGGUAAUGGCCUACCAAAGCUUCGAUCAGUAGCUGGUCUGAGAGGACGGCCAGCCACAUUGGGACUGAGACACGGCCCAGACUCCUACGGGAGGCAGCAGUGGGGAAUUUUGGACAAUGGGCGCAAGCCUGAUCCAGCCAUGCCGCGUGAGUGAAGAAGGCCUUCGGGUUGUAAAGCUCUUUCAGCCGGGAAGAAAAGGUUGCGAUUAAUAAUCGCAAUUUAUGACGGUACCGGAAGAAGAAGCACCGGCUAACUACGUGCCAGCAGCCGCGGUAAUACGUAGGGUGCGAGCGUUAAUCGGAAUUACUGGGCGUAAAGGGUGCGCAGGCGGUUUUGUAAGUCAGAUGUGAAAUCCCCGGGCUUAACCUGGGAACU
rnacentral:rRNA from 1 species